rnacentral:rRNA from 1 species
UACGAAGGGGGCUAGCGUUGUUCGGAUUUACUGGGCGUAAAGCGCAUGUAGGCGGAUCGUUAAGUCGGGGGUGAAAUCCUGGAGCUCAACUCCAGAACUGCCUUCGAUACUGGCGAUCUUGAGUCCGGAAGAGGUGAGUGGAACUCCUAGUGUAGAGGUGGAAUUCGUAGAUAUUAGGAAGAACACCAGUGGCGAAGGCGGCUCACUGGUCCGGUACUGACGCUGAGGUGCGAAAGCGUGGGGAGCAAACAGG